GAUGAACGCUGGCGGCGUGCCUAAUACAUGCAAGUCGAGCGAACAGACGAGGAGCUUGCUCCUCUGACGUUAGCGGCGGACGGGUGAGUAACACGUGGAUAACCUACCUAUAAGACUGGGAUAACUUCGGGAAACCGGAGCUAAUACCGGAUAAUAUAUUGAACCGCAUGGUUCAAUAGUGAAAGACGGUUUUGCUGUCACUUAUAGAUGGAUCCGCGCCGCAUUAGCUAGUUGGUAAGGUAACGGCUUACCAAGGCAACGAUGCGUAGCCGACCUGAGAGGGUGAUCGGCCACACUGGAACUGAGACACGGUCCAGACUCCUACGGGAGGCAGCAGUAGGGAAUCUUCCGCAAUGGGCGAAAGCCUGACGGAGCAACGCCGCGUGAGUGAUGAAGGUCUUCGGACCGUAAAACUCUGUUAUUAGGGAAGAACAAAUGUGUAAGUAACUAUGCACGUCUUGACGGUACCUAAGCAGAAAGCCACGGCUAACUACGU
rnacentral:rRNA from 1 species